AACGAACGCUGGCGGCGUGUUUUAAGCAUGCAAGUCGAACGGUAACAGGGGAGCUUGCUCCCGCUGACGAGUGGCGAACGGGUGAGUAACGCGUGGAUUAUCUGCCUCAAAGACCGGGAUAGCUCUGGGAAACCAGAAUUAAUACCGGAUGUGGUUCUUCGGAAUUAAAUGGAAGGCAAUGACCGCUUUGAGAUGAGUUCGCGCUCUAUUAGCUUGUUGGUGAGGUAAAGGCUCACCAAGGCGACGAUAGAUAGCCGGCCUGAGAGGGUGAACGGCCACAUUGGGACUGAGAUACGGCCCAGACUCCUACGGGAGGCAGCAGCUAAGAAUCUUCCGCAAUGGGCGCAAGCCUGACGGAGCGACGCCGCGUGAUCGAUGAAGGCUUUCGAGUUGUAAAGAUCUUUUUCAAGGAAGAAUUUUGACGGUACUUGAAGAAUAAGCCCCGGCUAAUUACGUGCCAGCAGCCGCGGUAAUACGUAAGGGGCAAGCGUUGUUCGGAAUCACUGGGCGUAAAGAGUACGUAGGCGGAUUAGUAAGUUGGAUGUGAAAUCUUUGGGCUCAACCCAAAAACUGCGUUCAAAACUGUUAAUCUAGAGUUCGGAAUGGGUAAGCGGAAUUCCUGGUGUAGGAGUGAAAUCUAUAGAUAUCAGGAGGAACACCGAUGGCGUAGGCAGCUUACUGGCUCGAAACUGACGCUGAGGUACGAAAGCUAGGGUAGCGAACGGGAUUAGAUACCCCGGUAGUCCUAGCCGUAAACGUUGUAUACUANGUGUAUGAGGUGUCGAUUCCUCAUGUGCCGAAGCUAACGCAUUAAGUAUACCGCCUGGGGAGUAUGCU
rnacentral:rRNA from 1 species